UACGGGGGGGGCAAGCGUUGUUCGGAAUUACUGGGCGUAAAGGGCUCGUAGGCGGCCAACUAAGUCAGACGUGAAAUCCCUCGGCUUAACCGGGGAACUGCGUCUGAUACUGGAUGGCUUGAGUUUGGGAGAGGGAUGCGGAAUUCCAGGUGUAGCGGUGAAAUGCGUAGAUAUCUGGAGGAACACCGGUGGCGAAGGCGGCCAUCUGGACCGCAACUGACGCUGAGGCGCGAAAGCGUGGGGAGCAAACAGG
rnacentral:rRNA from 1 species